rnacentral:rRNA from 1 species
AUGACGGUACCCAAGGAAUAAGCACCGGCUAACUCCGUGCCAGCAGCCGCGGUAAUACGGAGGGUGCAAGCGUUACUCGGAAUCACUGGGCGUAAAGGACGCGUAGGCGGAUUAUCAAGUCUCUUGUGAAAUCUAACGGCUUAACCGUUAAACUGCUUGGGAAACUGAUAAUCUAGAGUAAGGGAGAGGCAGAUGGAAUUCUUGGUGUAGGGGUAAAAUCCGUAGAGAUCAAGAAGAAUACCCAUUGCGAAAGCGAUCUGCUGGAACUUAACUGACGCUAAUGCGUGAAAGCGUGGGGAGCAAACAGGAUUAGAUACCCUGGUAGUCCACGCCCUAAACGAUGUAUACUAGUUGUUGCUUCGCUAGUCGAGGCAGUAAUGCACCUAACGGAUUAAGUAUACCGCCUGGGGAGUACGGUCGCAAGAUUAAAACUCAAAGGAAUAGACGGGGACCCGCACAAGCGGUGGAGCAUGUGGUUUAAUUCGAAGAUACGCGAAGAACCUUACCCGGACUUGAUAUCUAACAAAUCAUCCAGAGAUGGAAGAGUGUCUGCUUGCAGAAAUGUUAAGACAGGUGCUGCACGGCUGUCGUCAGCUCGUGUCGUGAGAUGUUGGGUUAAGUCCCGCAACGAGCGCAACCCACGUAUUUAGUUGCUAACGGUUAGGCCGAGCACUCUAAAUAGACUGCCUUCGUAAGGAGGAGGAAGGUGUGGACGACGUCAAGUCAUCAUGGCCCUUAUGUCCGGGGCGAC